rnacentral:piRNA from 1 species
UGGGUCAGAAGAGGUCUUGCAGCUCCUCAU